CUUUUCUUCUCUAGAGGUUUUGCAAGGACUCGCAAGAGAAUGGAUUCAUUUUCAUCACCGACUGGAUAUUUGCGUGCUUAUGGUCCAGGAUUCGUCUUACAAGAUUGAGAUUAGAAUAGAUCACUAGAAUGGGGAUGGAGAGAAUGAGAAUAUUGCAAAGAUGUUGAUCAAACUUGGGAGACAUUUGAGAAGACAUUAUGAGGUCAUAUUUCCAACUUCUAUAAACUUUGAAAAGAAAGGAAAAAGUACUACUGAAUAUUUUGGGAGUAGAAGCACAACUUAUGAAACAAGUACAAACAACUAGGAAGGAAGCAAAUGUAGAGUUGAGGAGGCAAUGAGGGAAGCAAAUGAGAAAUUGGAAGAAGUAAAAAAGCAAAUGGAGGGGAUGAAUAGACGAUGGGAAGAGAAGUUCAUGAUGAUACUUACAACUCAAGGUCAACAAUCUUCAGCAAAUAACCAAAUCCCUUUGGAUGAAAGAGUUGGUGGAAACUCUUAAAUGGUCAGAAAAAGUUGCUAUGACAUUGAAGCAUUUAUAUUUUGU